AUCACUUCUCAGUCUUUUGAAUAAGAUCAAGUGUAGUAUCUGCUCUUAUGAGUUUAAUACCUGAUAUGUCCUCUAUCUGAGGACAGUAUAUUAAAUGGAUUUUUGGAGCAGGGACUUGGAAUAGGAGCUUGCGCCAUCCACUCCAAGCAUCGGCCUGGUAUUUCAGUACUUCCAAGAAUGGUGCAUCCUCU
ensembl:snRNA U2 U2 spliceosomal RNA